GCCGAAGUAGCUCAGUUGGUAGAGCAAUGCUUUCGUAAAGCAGAGGUCGGGGGUUCGACUCCCCCCUUCGGCUCCA
rnacentral:tRNA from 1 species